rnacentral:ncRNA from 1 species
GGAUGAGAGAUACACCCCGCCCACAGGGGACUGUGGGCGGACCGGGCCGAGGCCUCCCCAGCUUCGACCUGGUCGUGCCCUCGCGCACACACAACCGGGGCCCGCGGGCUUCGGGUCUCCUCACGAUCGGA